AGCCAGCCUUGGAAGACACCCAAGAGAAGGCCUGAGGGCCAGGCUGGUACAUCCCUGCAAUCAUUUAUAUCUGAAUGACAGAAAGGAGUGUACAGGAAGGCAGGAUGGGAUUUCUCCUUCCUCCACUUCAACCUAGCAGAAAAUGGUGGCUUGCAGGAGAAGCACUGGGCAAAUGGUAUUUACGUGAUCAGGUCCAGAUUCAAGGAGUAGAGUCUGAGGGAAAGA